GACGAACGCUGGCGGCGUGCUUAACACAUGCAAGUCGAACGAAGAGCGAUGGAAGCUUGCUUCUAUCAAUCUUAGUGGCGAACGGGUGAGUAACGCGUAAUCAACCUGCCCUUCAGAGGGGGACAACAGUUGGAAACGACUGCUAAUACCGCAUACGAUUUAACCUUGGCAUCGAGGAUAGAUGAAAGGUGGCCUCUAUUUAUAAGCUAUCACUGAAGGAGGGGAUUGCGUCUGAUCAGCUAGUUGGAGGGGUAACGGCCCACCAAGGCGAUGAUCAGUAGCCGGUCUGAGAGGAUGAACGGCCACAUUGGGACUGAGACACGGCCCAGACUCCUACGGGAGGCAGCAGUGGGGAAUCUUCCGCAAUGGACGAAAGUCUGACGGAGCAACGCCGCGUGAGUGAUGACGGCCUCGGGGUUGUAAAGCUCUGUUAAUCGGGACGAAAGGCCUUCUUGCGAAUAGUUAGAAGGAUUGACGGUACCGGAAUAGAAAGCCACGGCUAACUACGUGCCAGCAGCCGCGGUAAUACGUAGGUGGCAAGCGUUGCCCGGAAUUAUUGGGCGUAAAGCGCGCGCAGGCGGAUUGGUCAGUCUGUCCUAAAAGUCCGGGGCUUAACCCCGUGAUGGGAUGGAAACUGCCAAUCUAGAGUAUCGGAGAGGAAAGUGGAAUUCCUAGUGUAGCGGUGAAAUGCGUAGAUAUUAGGAAGAACACCAGUGGCGAGGGCGACUUUCUGGACGAAAACUGACGCUGAGGCGCGAAAGCCAGGGGAGCGAACGGGAUUAGAUACCCCGGUAGUCCUGGCCG
rnacentral:rRNA from 1 species